CCCCGAGGAAAAGAAAUCAACCGAGAUUCCCCCAGUAGCGGCGAGCGAACGGGGAGCAGCCCAGAGCCUGAAUCAGUAUGUGUAUUAGUGGAAGCGUCUGGAAAGGCGUGCGAUACAGGGUGACAGCCCCGUACACAAAAAUGCACAUGUUGUGAGCUCGAUGAGUAGGGCGGGACACGUGGUAUCCUGUCUGAAUAUGGGGGGACCAUCCUCCAAGGCUAAAUACUCCUGACUGACCGAUAGUGAACCAGUACCGUGAGGGAAAGGCGAAAAGAACCCCGGCGAGGGGAGUGAAAAAGAACCUGAAACCGUGUACGUACAAGCAGUGGGAGCACGCUUAGGCGUGUGACUGCGUACCUUUUGUAUAAUGGGUCAGCGACUUAUAUUCUGUAGCAAGGUUAACCGAAUAGGGGAGCCGAA
rnacentral:rRNA from 1 species